AAAAUUUUAAAACGAAACUAGCUUUCUGAAGCCGGAAAAAGCUUCAAUACUUUGGCUAAUCGUCGAGUUUCAGUUUGAUAUUGGUACAAGUUUUCUAUACGCAUGAUUGCGACAAGAAAUGAUGUAUAGUUUUUGAGAUUAUGUUCAUGAUCGUCUGGAUAUGUUGCUAGCGUUUAGACGAAUAUUAAGAUUGUUGUUUGCC
rnacentral:lncRNA from 1 species